rnacentral:rRNA from 1 species
GCGAACCGGGAGAACUGAAACAUCUAAGUACCCCGAGGAAAAGAAAUCAACCGAGAUUUUGUGAGUAGCGGCGAGCGAAAGCGAAAGAGCCUGUUAGUGAUAGCGAUAGAGACAGAGGAACAAGCUGGGAAGCUUGGCGACACAGGGUGAUAGCCCCGUACUCGAAGUCCAGGUCGUGGUACUAAGCUAACGAGAAGUAGGGCGGGACACGUGAUAUCCUGUUUGAAGAUGGGGGGACCAUCCUCCAAGGCUAAAUACUCCUGAUUGACCGAUAGUGAACCAGUACUGUGAAGGAAAGGCGAAAAGAACCCCGGUGAGGGGAGUGAAAUAGAACCUGAAACCUUGUACGUACAAGCAGUGGGAGCCCGCAAGGGUGACUGCGUACCUUUUGUAUAAUGGGUCAGCGACUUAUAUUUUGUAGCGAGGUUAACCGAAUAGGGGAGCCGAAGGGAAACCGAGUCUUAACUGGGCGUUGAGUUGCAAGGUAUAGACCCGAAACCCGGUGAUCUAGCCAUGGGCAGGUUGAAGGUUGGGUAACACUAACUGGAGGACCGAACCGACUAAUGUUGAAAAAUUAGCGGAUGACUUGUGGCUGGGGGUGAAAGGCCAAUCAAACCGGGAGAUAGCUGGUUCUCCCCGAAAUCUAUUUAGGUAGAGCCUUGAGCGGACACCUUCGGGGGUAGAGCACUGUUUCGGCUAGGGGUCCAUCCCGGAUUACCAACCCGAUGCAAACUACGAAUACCGAAGAGUGAUACUCAGGAGACACACGGCGGGUGCUAACGUCCGUCGUGGAGAGGGAAACAACCCAGACCGCCAGCUAAGGUCCCAAAGUCUAUAUUAAGUGGGAAACGAAGUGGGAAGGCUUAGACAGCUAGGAUGUUGGCUUAGAAGCAGCCAUCAUUUAAAGAAAGCGUAAUAGCUCACUAGUCGAGUCGGCCUGCGCGGAAGAUGUAACGGGGCUCAAAUAUAGCACCGAAGCUGCGGCAUCAGACGUAAGUCUGUUGGGUAGGGGAGCGUUGUGUAAGCGGAUGAAGGUUCAUCGAGAGGUGGGCUGGACGUAUCACAAGUGCGAAUGCUGACAUAAGUAACGAUAAAACGGGUGAAAAACCCGUUCGCCGGAAGACCAAGGGUUCCUGUCCAACGUUAAUCGGGGCAGGGUGAGUCGGCCCCUAAGGCGAGGCUGAAAAGCGUAGUCGAUGGGAAACGGGUUAAUAUUCCCGUACUUGGUAAAGCUGCGAUGUGGGGACGGAGCAGGUUAGGUUAGCGUACUGUUGGAUAUGUACGUUUAAGUUGGUAGGUGGGAAGUUUAGGCAAAUCCGGACUUCCUUAACACUGAGAGAUGAUGACGAGGCUCUACGGAGCUGAAGUAACUGAUACCACACUUCCAGGAAAAGCCACUAAGCGAAAGGCUUUACUAAACCGUACUGAAAACCGACACAGGUGGUCAGGUAGAGAAUACUCAGGCGCUUGAGAGAACUCGGGUGAAGGAACUAGGCAAAAUAGCACCGUAACUUCGGGAGAAGGUGCGCCGGCGUAGAUUGUAGUCCCUCGCGGGCGAAGGUUGAACCGGUCGAAGAUACCAGCUGGCUGCAACUGUUUAUUAAAAACACAGCACUCUGCAAACACGAAAGUGGACGUAUAGGGUGUGACGCCUGCCCGGUGCUGGAAGGUUAAUUGAAGAUGUGAGAGCAUCGGAUCGAAGCCCCAGUAAACGGCGGCCGUAACUAUAACGGUCCUAAGGUAGCGAAAUUCCUUGUCGGGUAAGUUCCGACCUGCACGAAUGGCAUAAUGAUGGCCAGGCUGUCUCCACCCGAGACUCAGUGAAAUUGAAAUCGCCGUGAAGAUGCGGUGUACCCGCGGCUAGACGGAAAGACCCCGUGAACCUUUACUAUAGCUUGACACUGAACAUUGAAUUUUGAUGUGUAGGAUAGGUGGGAGACUUUGAAGUAGUCACGCCAGUGAUUAUGGAGUCGUCCUUGAAAUACCACCCUUUAACGUUUGAUGUUCUAACGAAGAUUGCGAAACGCGGUCUCGGACAGUGUCUGGUGGGUAGUUUGACUGGGGCGGUCUCCUCCCAAAGAGUAACGGAGGAGCACGAAGGUUUGCUAAUCACGGUCGGACAUCGUGAGGUUAGUGCAAUGGUAUAAGCAAGCUUAACUGCGAGACAGACAAGUCGAGCAGGUACGAAAGUAGGUCAUAGUGAUCCGGUGGUUCUGAAUGGAAGGGCCAUCGCUCAACGGAUAAAAGGUACUCCGGGGAUAACAGGCUGAU